UAGCUCAGUGGUAGAGCACUCGCCUGCCAAGUGCAAGGUUCUGGGUUUUAUUCCCAG
rnacentral:tRNA from 1 species